rnacentral:sRNA from 1 species
CAUAAUUGACCUAAGAAGUAGAAUAAUGAUGAUAUAAGUGAUGAUAGUAGUAGUAGAUGAGU